UACGAAGGGGGGCUAGCGUUGCUCGGAAUGACUGGGCGUAAAGGGCGCGUAGGCGGUUCGUACAGUCAGACGUGAAAUUCCCGGGCUCAACCUGGGGGCUGCGUUUGAUACGUACGGGCUUGAGUUCGGAAGAGGGUCGUGGAAUUCCCAGUGUAGAGGUGAAAUUCGUAGAUAUUGGGAAGAACACCGGUGGCGAAGGCGGCGACCUAGUCCGAUACUGACGCUGAGGCGCGAAAGCGUGGGGAGCAAACAGG
rnacentral:rRNA from 1 species